ensembl:snoRNA SNORA73 Small nucleolar RNA SNORA73 family
CCAACAUGGACACUCCAGGAGGCCUCUGUCCCUGGGCUCUGUCCAGGCGGCUUAAGGGAACAUAAGGCUCUGCUCCAUGGUGUGCAGUCCCUUUCCACAGCACUGGAGGUGAAGCUGGGCCAUUGAGUCUGUGCCUACAGACCCCCAUGACUUCUCAGAGUCCUGUGGAUGAUGACUGGGGAGAAAUAUCAUUCAGGAAACAAUG